rnacentral:sRNA from 12 species
AGCCUAACCCCGGUAAGCAAUUGCCGGAUAUGGCUAAAAGACCCAAUGACGACACUGAACCCCACGUUCAGCGACUCGUCAUUGGGCUGCAUCGGGAAACUGAUGUAGGGCCGCAAGGCCU